rnacentral:rRNA from 1 species
GACGAACGCUGGCGGCGUGCCUAAUACAUGCAAGUCGAACGCAGUGGGGACGGGGGAGUAACACGUGGGUAACCUCCCAUCAGAGGGGAUAACACUUGGUAACAGGUGCUAACCCGAUACGGAUGUAUGGUCCCGGGGUGCAUUAGCUAGUUGGUGGGGUAACGGCUCACCAAGGCCACGAGGCAUAGCGGGCCGGAGAGGGUGAUCGGCCACACUGGGACUGAGACACGGCCCAGACUCCUACGGGAGGCAGCAGUAGGGAAUGUUCGGCAAUGGACGAAAGGCUGACCGAGCAACGCCGCGUGAGUGAAGAAGGUUGUCGGAUCGUAAAACUCUGUUGUUGGAGAAGCGGUAUCUAACCAGAAAGCCACGGCUAACUACGUGCCAGCAGCCGCGGUAAUAC